AAUGAACGCUGGCGGCGUGCUUAACACAUGCAAGUCGAACGAGAAAUCCUGUCUUCGGACGGGAGAGUAAAGUGGCGCACGGGUGAGUAACGCGUGGACAAUCUACCUUUUUGUUCGGGAUAACAUUGCGAAAGCGGUGCUAAUACCGGAUACGAUGUUUUUAACUUAGGUUUUAAACAUGAAAGGGUGCCUCUUCCUGAAAGCAUCUGCAAAGAGAUGAGUCCGCGUCCCAUUAGCUCGCAGGUGGGGUAACGGCCUACCUGGGCGACGAUGGGUAGCUGGUCUGAGAGGAUGAUCAGCCACACCGGAACUGGAACACGGUCCGGACUCCUACGGGAGGCAGCAGUGAGGAGUUUUGGACAAUGGGGAACCUGAUCCAGCCAUGCCGCGUGAGAU
rnacentral:rRNA from 1 species